UAGUUGCACAAGGCCCAAUUGAGUCGGAAGUGAGAAGGGUCGAAUUAUUUGUGCCAGAACUUGUCACCUACCCAAAGCAGUAAACCCACUACUCCUUCCACACACACGCAAAAAAAAAACACUACUCUCCAGUCUCUCCACUACGACUCUACUCCGGUUGACCGUUGAGGGUUGAGGGUUGAGGCGACGGGAUUCACGAACUGCAUUGAUUUGCGCAAGAGAGCUCAAUCAUAAAAAAAACAACCAAAUAUACUACGAUCGUAGUUGCAUUAACCGCCUAGGCCUAGCAAGCUCUGAAUCGGUCGGUUCUUCACUGAAGAUUCAUCGGAAUUGAAAGGUUCACUCGGAUUAUUGGAGUUGAAAGGUUUACUCGAAAAUUCACCAAAAUUGAAAGGUAGCUCAAUUUGCAUCAGUCUGGCAUAUUCCUUCAGAGUCUAUAGAUCAAUCGUUGGCAACUGGAUUUUAGUACAGAGAAUAACACACACGGGGAUUUGGGAGUAUGCCCUCUGUAAAUCUUAGUUUGGCUUGUGAUCAUCAAUUUGUCAAUGUCAUCCUUGUCUUUUCCCUCUGUAAUCUUGGCUUCGACAUACACAGAACUUCAGUGACCAUGAUCCUACCAGAAUGCACAUUCAGAAUAUGUUCUGUACUAUGGCAUAAAAGAAGUACAACAGAAAGUCACAUUUUUUUUACUGAAGAAUCUUUACUCCAACUUGAAGAACUAACAUAUUGGAGUAUACUCAAGGUUAGGAUGGUUGUGAAGCUGAUCUGCCAGAUGCUUUUUGAGAGGUCUUUCUUCGGCUCAUCUUCCUGGGAGAUCUCAGAUUGUCCCUAAACCUUAUCUACCAUUGUAGUUUUAUUUAUUUUUGAAGUAUUUUAAUGUUUUGGACAACUUGUGAGAGCUAUGUCGUUUUAGGAUGAUUUUGAUUGGUUAAUAAUUUUGUAUUGUUUAUUGGUUAUAUUUCGAGGUAAUUGAAUACUUAUUCGGUUGUGAUCGAUUGCUUA